CAGGAAGAUACCUAGAAGGGGAAUAACUGGGUCAAAUGGAAUUUCGAGUUUUAGGGUUUUGAGGACUCUCCACGCUGAUUUCCAUAGUGGUUGUACUAGUUUAUGCUCCCACCAGCAAUGGACUGUGUUUAGCUUUUGUGGCCCAGGUGUUUCCUAUAAUCAGCACAUUUGAGAAACCCUAAGUUAGAAUCCUCAACAGGUUACUACCCAGAUGCAGUGAGGGCAUAGCGCUCUUGUUCUGGUCCUGUUGUCAUCUGUGGAGAGCUUGCUAUUGUGUGACACGAUGCUAGCAGCUUGGGGGCCCCUAAUAGACUGGGACAAGUACCAUCUCCAUUUCUUUUCCUACUGAAGAAACGUCACCCCUAAGCCAGCUAUGAAAACUCCAGACUUACACACCAAUUCUCUCACCAACCCACUUGGUUUAUUCCCCACAGUUUUCUCGAGCACAGCCUGUGGGUGAGACAUGCACAAGCCAGCGAGGACCUGCAGGGCACAAGACAAGCCCAGCUCACUGCAGUGAGGGGGACACACACACAAGUGGCCCCCAACAGGUGUGGACGGCCUAAACCCCGAACCUCAGAACAUCAGUGUAUGUGGAGCCAGGUCUUCAGAGAGACGAUCGUCCUCAAGUGUGGUCACAGGGAUGGACCUGAAUUCAGUACAGCUGUGGCCUUCUAAGAAGAGGACAUUUGGCAAACGUACACAGAGCUGUCACUUCGGGAACACAUGGGAGGAGACUGCGUCCAUGUGCAGGGAGAGGUCUCAGAAGGAACCAGCCCUGAGUGCACUUUGACUUCGGACUCCUCUUCUCCAGGAGUGUGGGAAAAUACCUCUCCACUGGGGAAGCCGCCAGCCUGUGGGCCUUGCAGAGGAACGCAGCCGGGAAGCAUCAGAAUAUUGUCUCGGUGAUUUUUACAAUACUGAAGCCAGGCUCGGUGCCCACACCUGUAAUCCCAGCAGCUGGGGAGGCUGAAGCAGGAGGAUCGCAAGUUUGAGGACAGCCUGGACAAUAGCCCUGCCUUGAAAUAAAAGUGGAAAGGGCUGGGUAUUCGGCUCAGGAUAGAGCAUCCCGGCACAUGCAGGGGCAGAGGCGUCCCUCCUGGGGACACACGGCUGCCACCGACCUGCUUCCUUGUCAAUCAUUUAUUCUUUUUCUUGCACAAACCACACGUGUGACGAAGUCCUGGCACGCACUGCCCUGUGCCUGGCCUUUGUGUGUGACAGAGCAUCCGGUAGAUGCUGCAGGACAGACUAAGAAAGCAGCUUUAGAAAGUCAGGGCAACAGCCAGUGGUGGGCAGGCGAGUCACCAGCGGGGCGUUGGAGGAAAGCUUGGAAAAGUAUUUUAGGCUGCUGUGUUAGGAGGGGCAGGAGGAGAGGCCGGGCUCCUGGAGGUGACCCUGGGCUCCUUGCCCCACCACCGAAGUAGGUCACUGUGAGCACAGGGAGGCGCCGCGCUGUGUGGGAGGCACGGAUCUGGCGGGGCUGCGAUGCCAUCUGUGACUGCAGACUCCCAGGUUGCUGGUGGGGAGAGCGGCUUGUCUAAGCGCCUGGCCUUACAGAUGGUGAAGCUGAGCCCAGAGGCAGAGGGACUGUUCCUGAGGUCACUAGCCAGGUGGGGACGGAGCAGGGACCUGAGCCUGCGAGUCCCACCUUUUGGCUGCAGCCCUUUUAAGGGUGCCAGGUUGCCUGAAAAGUUGUAUCUGGAUGCCCAGAUUUUACUCUGCCUUUUUCUUCCUGCCUUGUGUAUCUAUCGCCCCUCUGCAAUUGAAAAUAAGAGCAUAGACACUGGGCUGUGGUACUGGCUUUGCUCUCCACCCCUUAGGGCUUUGACAGGGCAGCUGUGACCACAGGGCAGUACAGUCCACCUUGUAGAGGAUGGAUUGGUGGUGGUCUUGGAGUUGUGCAGUGCACGGCCUGCGAAACUGUACCUAGCAGUCCUGGCUGUGAAGGGCUAAGUGACAUCAUGCCAUCAUGCCUGUCAAUCCAUUAGCAUAUGAAGAGAUCAUCAAAUGUUGGCCAUUAUUAUCUGCAUUUUUUGAUUUGUUUUGAGACAGGGUCUUGCUGUGUAGUCCACACUGGACUUGAGCUCAUUAUGUAGCCCAAGCUGUCCUCAAACUUGUAGUGAUCCUCUUGCCUCAGCUUUCCGAGUGUUGAGAUUACAGGUGUGCACUACCAUGCCUGGCUAUUAUUAUCUUUAUUUUUUUUUGUUAUCAUGAAGAACCGGCUGUCUUAUCUUUUUUUUUUUGGUACCGGGGAUCGAACCCGGGUCCUUGCACUUGCACAGCAGGCAGCGAAACCACUGAGCUAAAUCCCCGGCCCAGCUGUCUUAUCUUUGAAGCAGCAAGGAAUGGAAGAGCUGAGUAGGAAAGUCAUCUUUUCAUGUUUUCUUCUGUUAUUAAAGGUAACGAGCACUCAGUACAGAAAACCUGGAAAACGCAUAAGGAGACACAAAAUGACAAAAAAUAACAAGCCCACAUCCAGAACCACCCUUUUGACAUAUGGUGUAUGUUUUUCCAGGCUUUCAUUCCCUGUUUGUCUCUUUCACACAUUAGGAAAUUUUGCUUUCCUGUGGGAAGUCUGGCCUCCGCCCUCAGCUUUGAGGAGAGGACCCAGCACAGUGACCAAGAACAUGAAUUCUAUGUCUCCAUCACCUAGUUUCACAUGCCAGCUCUCACCUGCCUGCUGUGUGACCUUGGGCAAGACAGGGACAGGGACGGCCCCAGCACCAGGCAGCUGCAUCCUGGUCCGUCUUGGGCACACCUGCCCGUUCGACCGGGAUCUGGAGCCAGCCCCAAGUACUGACAGGCAGGCGGCUGGGCACCCUGGAUCACAGGGACCUGAUGAGGACAAGAGGCAGAACUUGAAGCACUGAUCCACUUGUCUGAGCCCUCAGAUGGAGACCAGAGAGAUUGGGCUGGGCAUGGCCGAGAUCCCAUUGCCCACCUCUGUAGCCUCCACCCCAGCCCUGACAUCAGGCAGAAUCUGCAGAGACCAAGGAGGUAUCUUUCUCUUCCAUCUCUCUCUGCUUCUGGUUUGCCAUGCCAUGAGCAGCUGUCCUCUCACCAUGCAUUGCUGCAUUUAAACCUACUGACCAUGGACUGAAACUUCUGAAACUGUGAGCCUAAAUAAACUUCUUUAAAUUGCAGAUAUUGGGCAUUUUGUUCUAGUGAUGAGGAAAGUGACUAACACAGUUGAAUUCUUGAACAACUCUUAAAUAAAAAAAUGCACCUUUUGAACUGAAUAUACACAAGAAAUACUGUGUUAAAUUCUGGGAUUUGAGAGUUAACAUGUUUCUGCCAUCACGAAUACAAAUGAAGUGGGGCUUUGUGGUCCAGGUGAAGGAGCUUGGACUUGAUUUUUAUAGAUGGCUGGACUUAUGGGGGUCUUAACUGCAAGCAAAAGGAACAGCUCUAGAAGAUGUAGUUGUCUCUUGGUGUCCAUGAGGAAUGGGCUCGGGGACCCCCAUGGAUACCAAGGUCCAUGGGUGCCCACAUCCUUUAUAUAAAGUGGUGUAGCAUUUUCACAGAACCUACACACAUUCUCCUGUGGACUUUAAAUCAUCUCAGAUUGCUUAUGGUGCCCUCCACAAUGUAAAUGCCAUGUAAAUAGUGUUAUAGUGUGUUGUAGUCUCUGUAAUAAUAACAAGAGAAAAAAGUCUGUAUGUGUUCAGUACAGGUGCAAUUUUUUCCUAAGUAUUUUCAGUGGUUGGCUGAAUCACGAAGGCAGAAGCCACAUACGGAAGGCUGAUUAUAUCAACAAGAAAGGAAUGAACUAAAAGGACACUGGGUAGCUCUUGAAUGGCCAGCAAGACCAGGAGCUGGGACUGCUCAAUGGAAAGCUGCAAAAGGAGAAUACACAGCCAGAGCCCCAGCAUCCCUCUGUGAUGCUCCUCUGCCACGCCGGCCUGCCUUGGAGCCAGCCAACUAUAGACCGAAACCUCUACAAACUGUCCAUAUCAGGAGGUCUGCGGUGGAAGGCUGAAGGAUCUAUGCUGGAAGCUGAAGAGUUUGAGCUGGAAGCCAGGAGAUGACUUCCAAGGUGAAAAAACUGGAGCAGGACAUCAAGAACCUGGAAAGAAGCCCCAUAGGACUUAGCACCUGGUAACAACUCUGACGGGGUCCAGAUCUGUGGUCUUACCUACAGAAACAGUUGAAAGUACCUGGCCUUCCUGUGUCAGUGGAUGAGCUCCAAGCACCCUGAGGCCCUACCACUCCUGGGCCCCCAGCCACAUCCUUGAAGGAUAGUGUGACGUCACUGCCCCGUGACCAAGCAAGGCCAGGCUGCUCUUGGCCACCUCAAGGUUGCCAUGGGAUCCCACUGCUCCAAAAGAAAAUGCAGAUGGUGGUUCUGGGUGGCCUCAAGAUUGUGUGCCAGGUGACUACAAGAAAGUUAGUCCUUCCGGUUCACCUGGCCCAAGAGGUUGGCUGAAAUUACCAGGCAGUGGCAGCCACCUACUGCUGGAAGAGAAAACAGCUUGUGAGGCUACAAAAAUGCAGAAAAAAACAGGGGAAGAAAACUGACAAAUACAGAGAGGCCCUGCAGACCAUAGAUUCCUGCUCUGAGCCCAGUAAAGGUUGUUUAUUCUUAAAAAACUUAAAAUUAAAAAAUAAUAAAAAUAUCAAGAUCAUCCAGAAGAGACUGGAGGUAGGGAUCAAGUCCAGGCACAAAGCCAGGAAUUCAGACCGGAAGACAGGCUGGGUAGGGUGAGUUAGGAUCAGGUAGCAGUGGGACCAGCUCCCCUGAGGACCACCCAGCAUACAGGCAACUGUUUCAAGCUUGGUUUUAAGGUCUGGCAGGAAGGCGGAAAGCAGCUGGAUGGCCAGUCACAGGUUCAGAGGUGGCUCUGCCAUGGCCCAGUGCAAAAGGCAUGCCCUGAACCCUUAAUGCAAACUGAAUCGAACCACAGUUAUAGAUUGCAUAUUUAGAACUACAGUGGAAUUUUCCAGGAGCAGUCAGAGCCAGAGAGCUCCGUGCAAGUAGACAAAAAUCUGCUAAUCCUUGGUAUCAGAGGUCUUGGGAAAUAAAGAACAUAUUUACAAAGAUGAUUCGAGGUCUUUAUUUCUUAUGCAUCUUCUGAUUUUUUUUCUUGUUUUGCUAAACUAGGUCCUGCCAUGUAAUCUAGGCUGGCCUUGAGUGCACUAUGCAGCCCAGGCUGACCUUGAACUCAUAGCACUCCUCCUGCCUUAGACUCCUAAGCACUGGGAUGACAGGCAUGCACCACUGCGCCUGGCUAGAGAUGAAGAAGGUGACUUUUAUGGUCACACUGGGGAGGUCAGAGGUCUGGGACCCUGGGUCUGCUCUGCACAGCCACCCAGCUGUCACCCACACUCUCUUUUGAGCAUGUGCAAGUUGCCCUUCCUAUGCUUGCUGCUUGCCAGACCCUGGGAGAAGCACUGUUUGUGCAGCAUCCUUUUAACCUCUGAGGUCACACCUGUGAGUAUUCCCACUGGACCGAUGGGGACAUCGAGGGUCUCGGAGUUAAGUCAAAUGUCAAAGUCACACUGCUACCCAAAGUGAUUAGGAAUGUGAACACCAGAGGCUUGUGGUGGCUCCUCCUAUUUUCCUGUCUCCAAUCUGCUUUUAACUUUCUCUGGUGCCAACUUCUAUUACUCACUUCUCCACACGAGC